GAUGAACGCUGGCGGCGUGCCUAAUACAUGCAAGUCGAGCGAACAGACGAGGAGCUUGCUCCUCUGACGUUAGCGGCGGACGGGUGAGUAACGCGUGGAUAACCUACCUAUAAGACUGGGAUAACUUCGGGAAACCGGAGCUAAUACCGGAUAAUAUAUUGAACCGCAUGGUUCAAUAGUGAAAGACGGUUUUGCUGUCACUUAUAGAUGGAUCCGCGCCGCAUUAGCUAGUUGGUAAGGUAACGGCUUACCAAGGCAACGAUGCGUAGCCGACCUGAGAGGGUGAUCGGCCACACUGGAACUGAGACACGGUCCAGACUCCUACGGGAGGCAGCAGUAGGGAAUCUUCCGCAAUGGGCGAAAGCCUGACGGAGCAACGCCGCGUGAGUGAUGAAGGUCUUCGGAUCGUAAAACUCUGUUAUUAGGGAAGAACAAAUGUGUAAGUAACUAUGCACGUCUUGACGGUACCUAAUCAGAAAGCCACGGCUAACUAC
rnacentral:rRNA from 1 species